rnacentral:rRNA from 1 species
AGGGGAGCGUCCUGCACGAGGUGAAGCUGCCACGGGAGUGUGUGGUGGAUUGUGUGGGAGUGAGAAUGCAGGCAUGAGUAGCGAAUCACGGGUGAGAAACCCGUGCGCCGGAUGAUCAAGGGUUCCAGGGUCAAGUUAAUCUGCCCUGGGUUAGUCGGGGCCUAAGGCGAGGCCGACAGGCGUAGUCGAUGGAGAACGGGUUGAUAUUCCCGUACCAGUGAAGGACCGUCCAUACUGAUAUUGUGAUGCUAACCAUGCCGAUCACGGUGUCAUGAAGUUUUUCUUUGUGGUGUUGUGGGGUGUGUGGGACCCAAGCUUUGGAGGUAAGCGUGUUAACAGGUGUGACGCAGGAAGGUAGCCAAGCCACGCGGUGGUUGUCGUGGUCUAAGCGUGUAGGAUGACUGGUUGUUAAAUGCGCUGGUUGUGUGUCUGAGACGUGAUGGGACCCCUUGUUUGUGGGGGAUUUGGUGAUCCUAUGCUGCCGAGAAAAGCAUCGGCGUGAGGUUUUAGCUGCCCGUACCCGAAACCGACACAGGUGAUCAGGUAGAGAAUACUAAGGCGAUCGAGAGAAUCAUGGUUAAGGAACUCGGCAAAAUGCCCCCGUAACUUCGGGAGAAGGGGGGCCCUGAGCGUGAUCUGCCCGUGCGGUGGGGAGCGUGUAGGGGUCGCAGAGACCAGGGGGAAGCGACUGUUUAUCAAAAACACAGGUCCGUGCGAAGUCGUAAGACGAGGUAUACGGACUGACUCCUGCCCGGUGCUGGAAGGUUAAGAGGAUUGGUUAGCCCUGUGUGGGCGAAGCUGAGAAUUUAAGCCCCAGUAAACGGCGGUGGUAACUAUAACCAUCCUAAGGUAGCGAAAUUCCUUGUCGGGUAAGUUCCGACCUGCACGAAUGGAGUAACGACUUCCCUACUGUCUCAACCAUGAACUCGGUGAAAUUGCAGUACGAGUAAAGAUGCUCGUUUCGCGCAGCAGGACGGAAAGACCCCGUGACCUUUACUAUAGUUUGGUAUUGGUGUUUGGGUUGGCUUGUGUAGGAUAGGUGGGAGACUGUGAAGCCGCUACGCUAGUGGUGGUGGAGUCGUUGUUGAAAUACCACUCUGGUCAAUCUGGAUGUCUAACUUCGGGCCAUGAUCUGGUUCAGGGACAGUGCCUGAUGGGUAGUUUAACUGGGGCGGUUGCCUCCUAAAGUGUAACGGAGGCGCCCAAAGGUUCCCUCAGCCUGGUUGGCAAUCAGGUGUUGAGUGUAAGUGCACAAGGGAGCUUGACUGUGAGAGUGGCGACUCGAGCAGGGACGAAAGUCGGGACUAGUGAUCCGGCAGUGGCUUGUGGAAGCGCUGUCGCUCAACGGAUAAAAGGUACCUCGGGGAUAACAGGCUGAUCUUGCCCAAGAGUCCAUAUCGACGGCAUGGUUUGGCACCUCGAUGUCGGCUCGUCGCAUCCUGGGGCUGGAGGCGGUCCCAAGGGUUGGGCUGUUCGCCCAUUAAAGCGGUACGCGAGCUGGGUUCAGAACGUCGUGAGACAGUUCGGUCCCUAUCCGCUGCGCGCGUUGGAGAAUUGAGAAAGGCUGUCCUUAGUACGAGAGGACCGGGACGGACGAACCUCUGGUAUGUCAGUUGUACCGCCAGGUGCAUGGCUGAUUGGCUACGUUCGGGAGGGAUAACCGCUGAAGGCAUCUAAGCGGGAAGCCUGUUUCGAGAUGAGUUCUCCUGGCGCCCUUUUGGGUGUGUGAGGCUCCUUAGAGAUGAUGAGGUUGAUAGGCCGGGUAUGGAAGCGUUGUAAGGCGUGGAGUUGACUGGUACUAAUAGGCCGAAGACUUAUUCACA